rnacentral:rRNA from 1 species
GAUGAACGCUGGCGGCGUGCCUAAUACAUGCAAGUCGAGCGAACAGACGAGGAGCUAGCUCCUCUGACGUUAGCGGCGGACGGGUGAGUAACACGUGGAUAACCUACCUAUAAGACUGGGAUAACUUCGGGAAACCGGAGCUAAUACCGGAUAAUAUAUUGAACCGCAUGGUUCAAUAGUGAAAGACGGUUUUGCUGUCACUUAUAGAUGGAUCCGCGCCGCAUUAGCUAGUUGGUAAGGUAACGGCUUACCAAGGCAACGAUGCGUAGCCGACCUGAGAGGGUGAUCGGCCACACUGGAACUGAGACACGGUCCAGACUCCUACGGGAGGCAGCAGUAGGGAAUCUUCCGCAAUGGGCGAAAGCCUGACGGAGCAACGCCGCGUGAGUGAUGAAGGUCUUCGGAUCGUAAAACUCUGUUAUUAGGGAAGAACAAAAGUGUAAGUAACUAUGCACGUCUUGACGGUACCUAAUCAGAAAGCCACGGCUAACUACGUG